rnacentral:rRNA from 1 species
GACGAACGCUGGCGGUGUGCUUCACACAUGCAAGUCGAACGAGGUAGCAAUACCUAGUGGCGGACGGGUGAGUAACGCGUGAGAAUCUGCCUUUAGAUGGGGGAUAAACGGGUCGAAAGACUCGCUAAUACCGCAUAUGACGAAAGUUGAAAGGAGUAAUCCGUCUAAAGAUGAGCCCGCGUCCGAUUAGCUAGUUGGUAGAGUAAAAGCCUACCAAGGCGACGAUCGGUAGCUGGGUCUGAGAGGAUGAUCAGCCACAAUGGGACUAGAGACACGGCCCGAUACUCCUACGGGAGGCAGCAGUGGGAAUUUUACGCAAUGGCGAAAGCCUGACGUAGCGACACCGCGUGAGCGAAGAAGCCCCUUGGGGUGUAAAGCUCUGUCAGCUGGACGAAAAAGAUGACGGUACCAGCAGA